AUUGAACGCUGGCGGCAGGCCUAACACAUGCAAGUCGAGCGGAUGACGGGAGCUUGCUCCUUGAUUCAGCGGCGGACGGGUGAGUAAUGCCUAGGAAUCUGCCUGGUAGUGGGGGACAACGUUUCGAAAGGAACGCUAAUACCGCAUACGUCCUACGGGAGAAAGCAGGGGACCUUCGGGCCUUGCGCUAUCAGAUGAGCCUAGGUCGGAUUAGCUAGUAGGUGAGGUAAUGGCUCACCUAGGCGACGAUCCGUAACUGGUCUGAAAGGAUGGUCAGACGCACUGGAAAUGAGACACGGUCCGGACUCCUAAGGGAGGCAGCAGUUGGGAAUAUUGGACAAUGGGCGAAAGCCUGAUCCAGCCAUGCCGCGUGUGUGAAGAAGGUCUUCGGAUUGUAAAGCACUUUAAGUUGGGAGGAAGGGCAGUAAGCUAAUACCUUGCUGUUUUGACGUUACCGACAGAAUAAGCACCGGCUAACUCUGUGCCAGCCGCCGCAGUAAAAC
rnacentral:rRNA from 1 species